rnacentral:rRNA from 1 species
GCUAGCGGCAGGCCUAACACAUGCAAGUCGAGGGGUAGAACACUUCGGUGUUUGAGACCGGCGCACGGGUGCGUAAGGCGUAUGCAAUCUACCUUAUACAGGGGAAUAGCCCAGAGAAAUUUGGAUUAAUGCCCCAUAGUGUUAUCGAAUCGCAUGGUUUGAUAACUAAAGUUCCAACGGUAUAAGAUGAGCAUGCGUCCCAUUAGUUAGUUGGUAAGGUAACGGCUUACCAAGACAAUGAUGGGUAGGGGUCCUGAGAGGGAGAUCCCCCACACUGGUACUGAGACACGGACCAGACUCNUACGGGAGGCAGCAGUGAGGAAUAUUGGUCAAUGGUCGCAAGACUGAACCAGCCAUGCCGCGUGCAGGAAGACGGUCCUAUGGAUUGUAAACUGCUUUUAUACAGGAAGAAACCCUCCCACGUGUGGGAGCUUGACGGUACUGUAGGAAUAAGGAUCGGCUAACUCCGUGCCAGCAGCCGCGGUAAUACGGAGGAUCCAAGCGUUAUCCGGAAUCAUUGGGUUUAAAGGGUCCGUAGGCGGUCUUAUAAGUCAGUGGUGAAAGCCCAUCGCUCAACGAUGGAACUGCCAUUGAUACUGUAAGACUUGAAUACUUAGGAAGUAACUAGAAUAUGUAGUGUAGCGGUGAAAUGCUUAGAUAUUACAUGGAAUACCAAUUGCGAAGGCAGGUUUACUACUAAGUGAUUGACGCUGAUGGACGAAAGCGUGGGGAGCGAACAGGAUUAGAUACCCUGGUAGUCCACGCCGUAAACGAUGGAUACUAGCUGUUCGGCGCAAGUUGAGUGGC